UCCGCUCUGCGCUCCCCGGGCGCCGCGCUGCCCGGCCCCGGCCUGCCGCUUCCUGCCCCGCGGGGCUGCGUCCCUCCGGCUCUCCCGCUGCUGACCCAGGCCCGCUCCUGCAGCACCCGAGUCUUGGGGCCAAGAGGAGGCAGGGGGGUACUUUGCAUCCGUGCCCUGACCUACGGCUCUCCUCUGGGCGGAAUGGAAAAGAGCUGAUUUGCAGCUCAGAUACCGGACGCACCGUUAGAUUCCGAUGUCCUUAUUAAAGUUAUAGUAACAACAGCAAUAGUACUACUACUACUACUACUAAUACUUAUAAUAGUAAUGAUAAUAAUUCCACAGUUAUAAAGGCGCAGGUGCUGCCUGGGCGGUUUGCAGUGUGCGCCAGGUGCGAGAGCCAGGCGGCAGCGAGGGAAGAGACAGCGGGGAGGGAUGGAGGGACACCCGGAGCAUGAGAGGCGGCAGAGAGCAGAGACAGACUCGCGGCGGCUGUGGGGAACCCCUGCGUGAAGCUGUUACACAGCAAAGAGCAUCAAUUGGUAUAGACAUUCCAGAGGGACUAUGAAGCCUCAGGGCACCUCAGGCUGUCAGCUUUGAUGCAAAUCUGACAACGGGCUUCUCUUAAGUUGGGACCUCCCACCAUUUCCGCGCAGCAAGGUUGGGCUACACUCAUUACAGAUGAGCCAGUAAAAGAAAAAAAAAAAAA